UGGAAGAGCCUCAGACACCAGGAAUUUGAUUAUUCACUUUUCCAAGAUAAAGUGGCACGGAGUGGGGAAAGACCAUUAAGGAAUGCUGAACAUAAAGGAAUCCUGGGGACCUUACCCUCAGUUAAGACAUAAGAAUGACAACCAGGAGUGUGCUCGCUCAUCUACACAAGGUCAAGUUUCCAUCUGCUGAUUCACACAUCAGUCUAUUCUGACUGUAUUCCUAGAUCUACCAGCAAAACCACUUCCUGUCCGAAUUUAUAGUCAAACAAAGAAAAGCCAAAUCUGCAUGAGAUACCUUGAAUCCAGCCCAAUCCAAUCCUGCAGAAGCCAUUAGGAUUUAAUAGUAGUGACUGAGAG
rnacentral:lncRNA from 1 species